rnacentral:lncRNA from 1 species
AGAGGAAGAGAAAGAAACAGGUCCAUUUUAAAAACCAGUAGCAGUAGCAGAGCAGCAAGGGUCAAGUCCAAGCCUAAAGUGGACCCUGUUACAGGAGCAAACUCAAUGCUCACACAGAGUAGUGAGAGAACCUUCCAGAACCUGUGUGAGCCAUGGUGCUAGCUCAGCUGGGGACAAGCUCAGCUGGAGAGGGGAGCAGCUCUGUGGGGGAGGAGGAGGGCUCUGCCCAGAUGCAGGCUCUGGGGUGGCACUGGGUCACUGUCGAGGGAACAGAGGGGGCACAAGAGACCAAGGCCAGGUGGAGCACAGCACAGGGGCACCUAAGCCCAGGUCAGGGAGGGCAGUCCUGGCACAGCAGGUGCAGGGCAAGGGGGGCUUUGGGGACACAGGUGGACAGUUUCCCGUGACAGAGGUCUUGCUGGAGGGCGAGGGGGGAGGGCACAUGCAGGUCAGUGAGGGAAGUCAACAGAGCUCAGGCUCUGACCAGCCCAGGGGUCUCAGCAGCUGUGAGGCCUGAGGCUAGGCCCAGGGCCAGGGAAACUUCGCAUCCUGCAACUGUAAUGGGGCUCGGCCUCAGGGCUGGGCAAUCUGUGAGGAGUGGGGGACAGGGCCCAGGCAGCUACCUGGCCAGGCGAGCCCGGCUGCAUCCCUCCUCAGGUGCAAGGCAGGUCUUUGGUGCACGCCCAGGUGUGGGGUCACUUGAGGUCAGACAGGUGGCACCUCACACCAUUAUGAAGGGACAGGAAGGCUUUGGAUUCCAAGACCAGGACCUCCUGACAUGGUCUUGCUGGAGGGCGAGGGGGGAGGGCACAUGCAGGUCAGUGAGGGAAGUCAACAGAGCUCAGGCUCUGACCAGCCCAGGGGUCUCAGCAGCUGUGAGGCCUGAGGCUGGGCCCAGGGCCAGGGAAACUUCGCAUCCUGCAACUGUAAUGGGGCUCGGCCUCAGGGCUGGGCAAUCUGUGAGGAGUGGGGGACAGGGCCCAGGCAGCAACCUGGCCAGGCGAGCCCGGCUGCAUCCCUCCUCAGGUGCAAGGCAGGUCUUUGGUGCACGCCCAGGUGUGGGGUCACUUGAGGUCAGACAGGUGGCACCUCACACCAUUAUGAAGGGACAGGAAGGCUUUGGAUUCCAAGACCAGGACCUCCUGACAUGGUCCUCCCAGUCCCAGCCGUAGGACGAGU